GUGGGGAAUAUUGGACAAUGGGCGAAAGCCUGAUCCAGCCAUGCCGCGUGUGUGAAGAAGGUCUUCGGAUUGUAAAGCACUUUAAGUUGGGAGGAAGGGCAGUAAGUUAAUACCUUGCUGUUUUGACGUUACCGACAGAAUAAGCACCGGCUAACUUCGUGCCAGCAGCCGCGGUAAUACGAAGGGUGCAAGCGUUAAUCGGAAUUACUGGGCGUAAAGCGCGCGUAGGUGGUUUUGUAAGUUGGAGGUGAAAUCCCCGGGCUCAACCUGGGAACUGCCUCCAAAACUGCAUGACUAGAGUACGGUAGAGGGUAGAGGAAUUUCCUGUGUAGCGGUGAAAAGCGUAGAUAUAGGAAGGAACACCAGUGGCGAAGGCGACUACCUGGACUGAUACUGACACUGAGGUGCGAAAGCGUGGGGAGCAAACAGGAUUAGAAACCCUAGUAGUCC
rnacentral:rRNA from 1 species